rnacentral:rRNA from 1 species
CCUACGGGUGGCAGCAGUCGAGAAUCAUUCACAAUGGGGGAAACCCUGAUGGUGCGACGCCGCGUGGGGGAAUGAAGGUCUUCGGAUUGUAAACCCCUGUCAUGUGGGAGCAAAUUAAAAAGAUAGUACCACAAGAGGAAGAGACGGCUAACUCUGUGCCAGCAGCCGCGGUAAUACAGAGGUCUCAAGCGUUGUUCGGAAUCACUGGGCGUAAAGCGUGCGUAGGCUGUUUCGUAAGUCGUGUGUGAAAGGCGCGGGCUCAACCCGCGGACGGCAUAUGAUACUGCGAGACUAGAGUAGUGGAGGGGGAACCGGAAUUCUCGGUGUAGCAGUGAAAUGCGUAGAUAUCGAGAGGAACACUCGUGGCGAAGGCGGGUUCCUGGACAUUAACUGACGCUGAGGCACGAAGGCCAGGGGAGCGAAAGGGAUUAGAUACCCGAGUAGUC